GGCCCUAUAGUUAGUACGUAUCAUACUGCGCGGACCGAGGGCAAAAAUCAACAAAGCAGAAAGGAUGGUUAAUUGCCACCAGGCAAUUAGCAAUGCUGUCCACAGCAAAGUGCCUAAAGAAGAUAAUUUCAAAAGAAUAUUAAUAAACAAAAAAUACAAAAAAGUAUUUGUAAAAUAUUUGAAAUCUCAACACAGUGAGGAAAAUUACUUGUUUUAUAAAGCAGUCGAGAAAUAUCGCAAGUAUAACACCAGCUCAACUAAAAAAAAGUUAGCUCUAGCCUUACGUAUAAUAGAACGCUUUAUAAUCCCAAAUAGUUUUCAAGAGGUCAAUGUUUCUGGUUUUUUGAAAAGAAUGGUUAUAAUAGAUCUCUAUUACUUUAUAAACGUGUCUGGAUUAUGUGGAAAAAGUACUAAAGUCAAAAGUUUCUUUUGUAAGCACGAUUGCAUGAAAAUGUUUUUUAUUAAUAUAAGUGAAGUAUCCUUAAAGAAAUCGCUACGGGUUCCCUCUUCCAAUUUAGAAAAUAUUUUUGAUAAGCUACAGCAAGAGGUGUAUGAAGCUAUGUAUCAAGAUUGCUAUGCCCGGUUUUUGAAAGAUAAUAUAUAUAUUAGAAAAAUGUUUGCAUGAGUUAAAAUAAGAAACAAUUACUUGGUGAAUGUUGAAGCUUAAGGCAAACUAAAUA